rnacentral:rRNA from 1 species
GACGAACGCUGGCGGCGUGCCUAAUACAUGCAAGUCGAACGCUUCUUUCCUCCCGAGUGCUUGCACUCAAUUGGAAAGAGGAGUGGCGGCCGGGUGAGUAACACGUGGGUAACUUACCCUUCCGAGGGGGAAAACACUUGGAAACAGGUGCUAAUACCGCGUAACAGUUUAUGCCGCAUGGCAUAAGAGUGAAAGGCGCUUUCGGGUGUCGUUGUUGGAUGGACCCGCGGUGCAUUAGCUAGUUGGUGAGGUAACGGCUCACCAAGGCGACGAUGCAUAGCCGACCUGAGAGGGUGAUCGGCCACACUGGGACUGAGACACGGCCCAGACUCCUACGGGAGGCAGCAGUAGGGAAUCUUCGGCAAUGGACGAAAGUCUGACCGAGCAACGCCGCGUGAGUGAAGAAGGUUUUCGGAUCGUAAAACUCUGUUGUUAGAGAAGAACAAGGACGUUAGUAACUGAACGUCCCCUGACGGUAUCUAACCAGAAAGCCACGGCUAACUACGU